rnacentral:rRNA from 1 species
GACGAACGCUGGCGGCGUGCUUAACACAUGCAAGUCGAACGGAAAGGCCCCUUUGGGGGUACUCGAGGGGCAAACGGGGGAGUAACACGUGGUUAACCUCCCUUUGCUUUCGGGUUAACUCCAGGAAACUGGGGCUAAUACCGGAAAGGAAUCCUUGCUGCAGGGUGGGGGUGGGAAAGCUUCGGCGGUUUUGGAUGGACUCGCGGCUUAUCAGCUUGUUGGUGGGGUAGUGGCUUACCAAGGCUUUGACGGGUAGCCGGCCUGAGAGGGCGACCGGCCACAUUGGGACUGAGAUACGGCCCAGACUCCUACGGGAGGCAGCAGUGGGGAAUAUUGCACAAUGGGCGGAAGCCUGAUGCAGCAACGCCGCGUGCGGGAUGACGGCCUUCGGGUUGUAAACCGCUUUCAGCAGGGGCGAAGCUUGUGGUGACGGUACCUGCAGAAGAAGCACCGGCUAACUACGUG